GUGUACCAGCGGUCAGUGGCCUGGGUAAGACGUAGGUGGCAAGCGGUGUCCGGAUUUAUUGGGGUUGACGGGUGCGUAGGUUGGGUUGUAAGUCAGGGGUGAAAUCCGGCAGCUUAACUGUCGAUGUGCCAUUGAUACUGCAGCACUUGAGUACAGACGAGGUAGGCGGAAUUGACGGUGUAGCGGUGAAAUGCUUAGAUAUCGUCAAGAACACCGAUAGCGAAGGCAGCUUACUAGACUGUAACUGACACUGAUGCACGAAAGUGUGGGGAUCAAACAGGAUUAGAUACCCUGGUAGUC
rnacentral:rRNA from 1 species